GGAUGUAGCUCAGUGAUAGAGUGUGUGCUUAGCAUGCAUGAGGUCCUGGGUUCAAUCCCCAGUACUUCCA
rnacentral:tRNA from 1 species